AUGAUCAGUGUCUUCUCCACAAUCCCUGGACACACUGACUAACCAUGGAAUGGAGCUGGGUCCUUUUCUUCUUCCUGUCAGUAACUACAGGUGUCCACUCCCAGGUUCAGCUGCAGCAGUCUGGCACUGAGUUGGUGAAACCUGGGGCUUCAGUGAAAAUAUCCUGCAAGGCUUCUGGCUACACCUUCACUGACCACGUUAUUCACUGGGUGAAGCAGAGGCAUGAACAGGGCCUGGAAUGGAUUGGAUAUAUUUCUCCUGGAAAUGGUGAUACUAAGUACAAUGAGAAGUUCAAGGGCAAGGCCACACUGACUGCAGACAAAUCCUCCAGCACUGCCUACAUGCAGCUCAGCAGCCUGACAUCUGAGGAUUCUGCAGUGUAUUUCUGUGCAAGACACAGUGUUGUAACCACAUCCUGA